rnacentral:misc_RNA from 1 species
CCGAGUUCUCCUGCUCUGCAGGAACUCCCACCCUUGGCAACUCGACGUUGCUUCGGCGAGACGUUGGAAACAGCCGUUGGCGGCAAGAUGUUGAUGCCGCCGGCGCGGGCUCGCCGGAGUUCUCCACAUACUCUGAGAAUAUGUAUCGUCAGAUAAAACAAGCAAUACAUAA